rnacentral:rRNA from 1 species
UCAAGUUAUUAAGGGUGCAGGGCGGAUGCCUUGGCACUAGGAGCCGAUGAAGGACGUGAUAAGCUGCGAUAAGCUUCGGGGAGUUGCACGUAAACUUUGAUCCGAAGAUUUCCGAAUGAGGAAACUCACUUAGAGUAAUGUCUAAGUAUCAUUAAGUGAAUACAUAGCUUAAUGAGGGGAACUCAGGGAACUGAAACAUCUAAGUACCUGAAGGAAGAGAAAGAAAUUCGAUUCCGUAAGUAGCGGCGAGCGAACGCGGAUUAGCCCAAACCAAUAAAGUUUUCUUUACUGGGGUUGCGGACAUAUCAUAACGAAGAGGUAUCGUAAUUGAAGAGGUUUGGAAAGACCCACCACAGAAGGUAAUAGUCCUGUAUGUUAAACGAGAAGACUUCAGAUAUGAUCCAGAGUACCACGGGACACGUGAAACCCUGUGGGAAGCAGGAGGGACCACCCUCCAAGGCUAAAUACUACCUAGUGACCGAUAGCGUAUAGUACCGUGAGGGAAAGGUGAAAAGAACCCCGGGAGGGGAGUGAAAUAGAACCUGAAACCCUGCACUUACAAGCUGUGGAAGCACAUUUCUUGUGUGACCGCGUACUUUUUGUAGAACGGGCCAACGAGUUACGUUAAGUAGCAAGGUUAAGCACUUAAGGUGCGGAGCCGUAGCGAAAGCGAGUUUUAACUGAGCGUUCAGUUACUUGACGUAGACCCGAAACCGGGCGACCUACCCAUGAGCAGGAUGAAGCGAAAGUAAAAUUUCGUGGAGGUCCGAACCCACGAGCGUUGAAAAGCUCGGGGAUGACUUGUGGGUAGCGGUGAAAUUCCAAUCGAGCCCGGAGAUAGCUGGUUCUCCCCGAAAUAGCUUUAGGGCUAGCCUCAAGGUGAGAGAUACGGAGGUAGAGCACUGAAUGUCCUAGGGGGUAUUGCACCUACCGAAGACUAUCAAACUCCGAAUGCCGUCAUCUUAUACUUGGGAGUCAGACUGUGGGUGAUAAGAUUCAUAGUCAAAAGGGCAACAGCCCAGAUCGUCAGCUAAGGUCCCUAAAUGUAAGUUAAGUGGUAAAGGAUGUGGGAUUGCACAGACAACCAGGAUGUUGGCUUAGAAGCAGCCACUCAUUCAAAGAGUGCGUAAUAGCUCACUGGUCGAGUGAUCCUGCGCCGAAGAUUUCCGGGGCUAAAACUUACUACCGAAGCUACGGCAUCAUUAUGAUGGGUAGGGGAGCUUCCCAUACGGGUUGAAGCAUGACCGUAAGGACAUGUGGACAGUAUGGGAGUGAGAAUGUUGGCAUGAGUAGCGAGAUGUGGGUGAGAAUCCCACAGGCCGUAAACCCAAGGUUUCCAGGGGAAGGUUCGUCCGCCCUGGGUUAGUCGGGACCUAAGCUGAGGCCGAAAGGCGUAGGUGAUGGACAACAGGUUGAUAUUCCUGUACUACCGAUAACCGUUUGAGAGAAGGGAUGACACAGUAGGAUAAGCUAAGCACACUGUUGGUUAUGUGUGCCCAAGCAUUGAGGCAGUCAAAGUAGGCAAAUCCGCUUUGAUAAUGCUGGGAUGUGAUGGGGAGCGAAAUUUAGUAGCGAAGUAGCUGAUUUCACACUGUCAAGAAAAGUCUCUAUCGAGGUUAAAGGUACCCGUACCGCAAACCGACACAGGUGGGUGAGGAGAGUAUCCUAAGGCCAGCGAGAGAACUGUUGUUAAGGAACUCGGCAAAAUGACCCCGUAACUUAGGGAUAAGGGGUGCCACCAUCCGGUGGCCGCAGAGAAUAGGCCCAAGCGACUGUUUACCAAAAACAUAGGUUUCUGCUAAGUCGCAAGACGAUGUAUAGGAGCUGACGCCUGCCCGGUGCUGGAAGGUUAAGGGGAUCUGUUAGAGCAAUCGAAGCAGUGAACUUAAGCCCCAGUAAACGGCGGCCGUAACUAUAACGGUCCUAAGGUAGCGAAAUUCCUUGUCGGGUAAGUUCCGACCCGCACGAAAGGCGUAACGAUUUGGGCACUGUCUCAACAACAGACUCGGUGAAAUUGUAAUUCCGGUGAAGAUGCCGGAUACCUGCGACAGGACGGAAAGACCCCAUGGAGCUUUACUGUAGCUUGACAUUGGGUCUUGGUACUACAUGUACAGGAUAGGUGGGAGGCUUUGAAACCAGGACGCCAGUUUUGGCGGAGCCAUCCUUGGGAUACCACCCUUGUAGUACUGGGACUCUAACCAUAGGCCAUGAAUCUGGUCUUGGGACACUGUCAGGUGGGCAGUUUGACUGGGGCGGUCGCCUCCCAAAAGGUAACGGAGGCGCUCAAAGGUUCUCUCAGUACGGUCGGAAAUCGUACGUAGAGUGUAAAGGCAAAAGAGAGCUUGAUUGCAAGACAUACAGGUCGAGCAAGGAUGAAAAUCGGACUUAGUGAUCCGGUGGUUCUGCGUGGAAGGGCCAUCGCUCAACGGAUAAAAGCUACCCUGGGGAUAACAGGCUUAUCUCCCCCAAGAGUCCACAUCGACGGGGAGGUUUGGCACCUCGAUGUCGGCUCAUCACAUCCUGGGGCUGUAGUAGGUCCCAAGGGUUGGGCUGUUCGCCCAUUAAAGUGGUACGCGAGCUGGGUUCAGAACGUCGUGAGACAGUUCGGUCCCUAUCCGUCGCAGGCGUAGGAAAUUUGAGAAGACCUGUCCUUAGUACGAGAGGACCGGGAUGGACGUACCUCUGGUGUACCAGUUGUUCUGCCAAGGGCAUGGCUGGGUAGCUAUGUACGGAAUGGAUAAGCGCUGAAAGCAUCUAAGCGCGAAGCCAACUUCAAGAUAAGAUUUCCCACCGCAAGGGUAAGACCCCAGAAAGACUAUCUGGUUGAUAGGUCGAAGGUGUAAGUGCAGCAAUGUAUUUAGCUUAUCGAUACUAAUAGGUCGAGGACUUGACCAA